UACGAAGGGGGCAAGCGUUAUCCGGAAUUACUGGGUGUAAAGGGUGCGUAGGCGGUAAAGUAAGUUAGGUGUGAAAGCCCGGGGGCUCAACCUCGGGACUGCACUUAAAACUGCUUUACUAGAAUACAGGAGAGGUAAGUGGAAUUCCUAGUGUAGCGGUGAAAUGCGUAGAUAUUAGGAGGAACACCAGUGGCGAAGGCGACUUACUGGACUGUGAUUGACGCUGAGGCACGAAAGCGUGGGGAGCGAACAGG
rnacentral:rRNA from 1 species